rnacentral:misc_RNA from 1 species
GGGUGCGCCACUGGCGAGUGGCGAGGUGGCAGGUGGCAUAGGAUUACCGAAACGAAACCUAUCCUAUCGUAUUCGCAGGCCCUCUUAUCUCUACAUAUGUACAUGUCAAAUACAGUUCACAGCAUCAAUAAGUGAUAGCUCUUAUGAGAGAAAGAUAAUUGGAUAGCCUAUUUUAUUUGUGGUUUAAAAGCUUUGUAUUGGUUGCUGUGGGGCUGAGAUGGGGAAGGAAUAACCAACUUAGUGAAAGACUACACAAUGAACAUGCAACAUGGACAGGACUGGACCAAGCAGUGUGUUAAGCCAGUACUGUAUGACUGUCGGGUUCUUUUGUGUCAUACUCUACAUGUAUGGAUUUUUUCCGAUUAAGGCAUCUACCAAUAUAUUUUCCUCAAGAACAGACCUACCAACAAAUCUGCAUGAUUUAAAAUUCCAUACUGAAAACUUGUACAACGGCAGUGUGAGUAAGACUGUACUGAUGGUGAUUGAUGGAAUCAGGCUGGAUUUUGUGACAAAGGACAACAUGCCAUACACAACGGGGAAGUUGGAGGGGAAAGAGGGUUGCCACCUGACUGCUAGGGUGUCUGCCCCAACAGUCACCCUGCCCAGGAUCAAGGCCAUAGUGACUGGCACAGUGUCAAGCUACAUUGACGUAAUGCUCAACUUUGGCACCAAAGAAUUAACUGGAGACAACGUUAUUCGGCAAGCUGCACAGACCAAGAGGUUGUUAUUCUAUGGUGAUGAUACGUGGAUCAAACUUUUACCUCAUCAUUUCAUCCGCAGUGAGGGAACAUCAUCAUUCUUUGUCAAUGAUUAUACAGAAGUAGACAGUAAUGUGACACGACAUCUGGACUUCGAGUUGCACAGGACUGAUUGGGACGUGAUGGUGCUGCACUAUCUGGGUCUAGACCACAUCGGCCAUAUCGAGGGUCCCAACAGCCCUCUGAUCAGGCCCAAGCUGCGAGAAAUGGAUGGUAUCAUUGCUCGUCUCCAUGAAUAUUUACAAGAACAGGGUGGAGGAGUGUUGGUGGUGUGUGGUGACCAUGGCAUGAAAGACCAGGGAAGUCACGGUGGAGUUUCCACUCCAGAGGUUUUGGUGCCUCUUGUGGUGCUUGGUCUUGGUUGUCCCACUCACAAUAAAGAGGAGGUGCUCCAAGUGGACUUGGCUCCAACCCUGAGUGUGUUGUGGGGAGUUGCCGUACCUGCGGAUAAUAUUGGUGUGGCAAUAUUUAGUCUGUUGGCACACUUGUCGCCGGCUCAGCGUCUCUUCGCUCUACUCCACAAUGGGCAACAACUGGCGGCUAACUUUCUUCGCAACAAGGGGUCCACGGUACACGAGAAUUACUGCAAGUUUGAGGAGGCCAGACAGAAACACUACGAAUGGCUCAUCAACUCUAGUUCCGUGUCUCACCUUGAGGUGGAAGCACUGUACCAGUCCAGUCUCCUAGGCAUGUCUCGUUUCUUGUCUGAUGUCUUGGCGAACUAUGACACCUGGGCACUAUUCACUGCCAAGGCUAUUCUGUUACAGGUAGUAUGCAUGCUAGGCCUGAAACUAGCUGGAGUUUCCCCACCACACCCCAGCAUGUCCUCGGUUCUCUCUGUCUCAGCUAUAGUCGGGGUUGCUAUGGUUAUACUCUGUUCAUUACCACCAUGGCCUCUCCCUAUCUUGCUAUGCUGUAUCUCGCUCCUCAGCGUCAAUUCUGUGCUGCUCUACCAUCAGUUCAGAACCUUGCCAUCUUUGUUCAAGGCAGAGGUGAGAGUUAGAGAGUGGUGGCGCUUGUUGCUGCCGGUUGGCACUGCAGUCCACUGCUUGGCGCAAAUGUCCUCAAGCCUGUUAGAGGAGGAGCAUCAACUUUGGUACUGGCUGUGGGUAACAGUAGGACUACUGAGGCUGCGCCAGAACUGUGCCCGCUGGCUGUGUGUACUCGUGAUCCACCGGGUGCUCCGGGCACUCAACCAGACAGGAGACCGCUGGGCUCACCUCCCUGACCUCAGUGACUGGCUCACUCUCACGUCUAAUGCUUCCAUCCUCUCUGCCUUUUGUGCACUCAGUUUGUUAUGGCUGUGCUGGUACUGCACACAAGUAUUGUCUCGCUCUUGGAUACCAACCAUUCUCUGUGCCAUAACAGUUUCCUGUAUAUAUCAACACAAAGCAGCCAUCCACCAAGCAAUCCCAUUUAUAUCUCCUUCUUCCAAUGGCGUGAGUGAGGCUCGCAUGUGUUGGCUGCUGCUGCUCUUACUGCUGCUACAGGGCAGAUCUCUGAACACUCUGCUAGUCUGCUGGAUGUUAAGCAGCAGUCUGCUACUUCGCUCCCACAACACAGUGCUCAUCCCUGCUUUAUACUUCUUCAGUCAGUCUGUAGCCCUCUAUCCCUCUCCAGCCCACACUGUCCUCCACCACUGGCUUGGGGCUGUCUUCUUUUUCUAUCAGAAAGUGUCAUAGCAACUGAAAGCCAUUUUAUGCUGUACACUUAAUGCUACCAUCAGUGCUGGCUGGCAACCUGAGUGUAAAUUAAUGGGAGGGUAACCUCAACACCAGCCUGGCCAGUGUGGACCUAGCAGCUGGUUACAUUGGUUUGGAGCAGUACAAUAUAGUCAUUGUUGGAGCACUGUUGUUGGCUCACACUUACGCAAUGCCAGUGUUGGCUUAUACUCUCAG